ACAUGAAGUAUGAUCUCAUAGUACAGACUGCUUUAUUAUGUUUUUUUAGGCACUGAUGCAGCAAAACAAACAACAACCUCAACAACACCACCACCAACAGCAGCAGCGGCAACAACCACAUCAAGAGCAAACAAUAAUCCUGAAAAUCAGCCAUCAACUUGGUCGGUGUGGUGGUACAUUUGUGUUCCUGUGGGUAUAACAGCCAUCUUAGCAGGUGUUCUGGUGAUCAUUACAUGGAUGCAAAAUAAAGGAAAUGAAACCGAGACGACUGAAUCUCAGGGUCCUGAUGAUGGCAAUAAGAAUGACGAUUGUGAUGAUUGUGGCGAUGUGGUCUAUGACACUGUGGGGGAUUUAUCGUGUUAUGCUGGAUUUUCAACUGAUGCCAGAGGCCUCGAUUUCACAUUCACGACCCCUACAUGACUGUUUGGAUCAUAGAUUUAAAAGGAGAAUGCAGUAAGAGCAAUACAAAAUAUCCAAACAGCGCUUUUUAAACUGAUGUUUAUUUAGUGGACAGGCUUUUUUUCCUCAUCUCAUCUCAUCUCAUCUCAUCUCAUCUCAUCUCAUCUCAUCUCAUCUCUCGUUUCACCCUAUUUGGUACCUCUGCUCACCACUUCUCAUUCCAUCUCCUUUCACCUUGU